UACGAAGGGUGCAAACGUUGCUCGGAAUUAUUGGGCGUAAAGCGCGCGUAGGCGGCUUGGCAAGUCGGAUGUGAAAUCCCUCGGCUCAACCAAGGAAGUGCAUCCGAAACUGCUGUGCUUGAGUACUUAAGAGGAUCGCGGAAUUCCCGGUGUAGAGGUGAAAUUCGUAGAUAUUCGCAAGAACACCAGUGGCGAAGGCGGCUCACUGGCCCGAUACUGACGCUGAGGCACGAAAGCGUGGGGAGCAAACAGG
rnacentral:rRNA from 1 species